rnacentral:lncRNA from 1 species
AAGGAAAUAAUGUUACACAAUAUGUUUAAAUUACACAAUGUAAGUGUAUUUUUCAUCAAAAAAUAUUACAAUUGCAUAGAAAAUGAUUUCUAACUAAUAUUUAAAAAACAGUUCCAUGUGAUUAACUAUAUGUCAAAUAUCUAACAGAAAAUAAUACUCGCUAAGACCAUAGCUUGCUAAAAAUAUAAGUUCAAAGUAUAAAAUUUUAAUAUAAAACUAUAUUUUUAUAAUUUCCAUGUAUCCAAAUUAUGAUUGGAUAGACCCUAGUUAAUCUAACAGGCCACUAUGCUACACGGUAUGGUGAAGCGAAGAAAAUAAAUACAACAUGGAAAGGGCAUAGAAGAAAAAUUAUAAGUGAUUCAAUAUUUUGUUUCAAAAGAAUAAAGUCGAUAUGGUAAUAAGAAAACUGCUCAUCAGCAUUGUAACUGUAAUUAGGUAAUAAUAAAUAGAAAAAUGCAUUACACACUCGAUUGUUCUUAAAAGACCUUUUUCCUAAAAUACUUUAUGAUAAUAAAUGAUAACAACUAAUAGUGAAUAGUUUUUAAAAUGAUAAUCAGUGACACCUCAUGUCUAGUAUGCAAUGGUGUGAGAAUUAACCGGGAUUCACUCCGACCGCAACAUGAUCUUUACUACUAAUUCAACGUGCGCAUGUCAUUGUAAUAAGGUUUAUUAAAGAGAAAAUAAUUAUUUUCGAUAAAUAAUAUUUAUUUUGAGUAAGAUUUAGGCCUUAUGGAGUAGACGCAUAUUUGGAUUAAUAAUUCCAAUUACACUGGAAUAUGUAUAUUAUUUGUUUCGUAUUUGGUUUUCUUUGUUUUUGGUGACUUUUUUUUAGCAAACAACAAAAGUUUUAAAUUUUUGAGAUUUUUAAAUUUUUCCAAAAAUCAGGAUUGUUUUAGCAAGUAAGAAUAUUCAAUCAAGAAUAUGCUAGAAGGGAAUGCAAAUUUUAGUUAUCCAUUCAUGGAACUAAAAUAAUGCAUUAAUGAGUUGGGAUCUUCACCUACAUGAAAUCAUCAAAGUGUUUGACAUCAUCAAGGAUGGUGAAGAGGCUUGAGAAAGUCAAUGGGAGCGCUAAAGAAUAUUUUUUAUACUCUGUGUGAACAACGUAUUGUUAGUUGGAAAUAUUGUUGACAUAGUGUAAGGUUUCAUUGAAAUUAAAUUUCAUUGAAAAGAUUAAAG